rnacentral:rRNA from 1 species
CCCUUAGAUGUUCUGGGCCGCACGCGUGCUACACUGAGUACAUCAAUGGGUAAGGGAACACGAAAGUGCAACCUAAUCUUGAAAUUUGCUCGUGAUGGGGAUCGACGGUUGCAAUUUUCCGUCGUGAACGAGGAAUACCUUGUAGGCGCGUGUCAUCAUCACGCGCCGAAUACGUCCCUGCCCUUUGUACACACCGCCCGUCGCUCCUACCGAUUGAGUGAUCCGGUGAGGCUCUGGGACCUGGACGGAAAGAGCGUUUCGCUUGUUCUGUUUGGGAAACUUGGUCGAACCUUAUCAUUUAGAGGAAGGAGAAGUCGUAACA